rnacentral:lncRNA from 1 species
UUGGUACAUAGAUGAAUUAGGGUUUCCUUGAGAAACAAACUUCAAACUCUUUGACUUGCUUUAAUAAAAAUGAUGAAUUGAGAUACUAGGGAGGCAUAUUUGAUGAAUGGGAGCUUUGAGAAACAUUUCCAUGCUUGCCUUCAUCUUUUCUUGGCCAUAUCUUUGCACAAAGGAUCUCCUUGAAGCUCUUGACCUUGUGAUUGCUCAAGCU